UGAGUAUGCAAGACCGAGGCCACCCCUACCUGGGAACAACACAGGCUCUGCCUACGGUAACAACACAGGCUCUGCCUACGGGAACAGCACAGGCUCUGCCUACGGGAACAGCACGGGCUCUGCCUACGGGAACAGCACGGGCUCUGCCUACGGGAACAGCACGGGCUCUGCCUACGGGAACAGCACGGGCUCUGCGUAUGGGAACAGCACCGGCUCUGCAUACGGGAACAGCACCGGCUCUGCAUACGGGAACAGCACCGGCUCUGCGUAUGGGAGUAACACGACUCCUGCAUUUGGGAAUAAUACAGGACCUAUGUCUGGGAGCAA
rnacentral:lncRNA from 1 species